rfam:Lottia gigantea unplaced genomic scaffold LOTGIsca_3858, whole genome shotgun sequence.
GGUAGAGUGGCCGAGCGGUCUAAGGCGCUGGUUUUAGGCACCAGUCUCUUCGGAGGCGUGGGUUCGAAUCCCACCUCUGCCA